UACGAAGGGGGCUAGCGUUGUUCGGAAUUACUGGGCGUAAAGCGCACGUAGGCGGAUAUUUAAGUCAGGGGUGAAAAUCCCAGAGCUCAACUCUGGAACUGCCUUUGAUACUGGGUAUCUUGAGUAUGGAAGAGGUAAGUGGAAUUGCGAGUGUAGAGGUGAAAAUUCGUAGAUAUUCGCAGGAACACCAGUGGCGAAGGCGGCUUACUGGUCCAUAACUGACGCUGAGGUGCGAAAGCGUGGGGAGCAA
rnacentral:rRNA from 1 species